GACAGAGGUGCCGAGCGUUAGGCGGAAUCACUGGGCUUAAAGCGUGUGUAGGCGGGCGGGCAAGUACCUUGUGAAAUCCCACGGCUCAACCGUGGAACGGCUGGGUAUACUGCCUGUCUUGAGCCAACUAGGGGCGAGCGGAACAGACGGUGGAGCGGUGAAAUGCGUAGAUAUCGUCUGGAACGCCAAAGGUGAAAACAGCUCGCUGGGGUUGUGCUGACGCUGAGGAGCGAAAGCAUGGGGAGCGAACAGG
rnacentral:rRNA from 1 species